rnacentral:lncRNA from 1 species
GAGAGAGAGAGAGAGUUGAGCUGGAAUGCUAUCGGUAGCAAACGGGCGCCGUUGCCACCCAUUUGUUUUCUAUGAUGGAGCUUUCAAAUCGACGAUCGGUACCGUUGAACAUGAUCUAUAUCACUUGAAGUAUUUAGAAAUUAAAUUUUAAAUUUUUUCGACAUUAUUUACUUAAUGAUCAAAGGGUUUCAAAAUUAGUAAUUUUAAUGGUUGAUGUGAGGGGUUUUCUCGUUUAACAGUGUAAAGCUAUCCAAAUCAAUUGAAUUUUGGUUAGAAAAUUUUUUAAACUAUUUAGAACAAGAUCUAUACUCUCGAUAAUGAUUACAAAAUUUCUAUCAUCACUUUUUAGAGGAUAUUCAUUUUCAGCCAUUCAUUUUUACGCCCACUUGAUGGACAAGAAAACAAUAUCGAAAAAGUAUGAAAUUUGAUUUUUAGAUACUUCAAGUGGUAUAGAUCAUUUUCAACGGUGCCGAUCGUCGAUUUGGGGGCUCCAUCAUCGAAAACAAAUAGGUAGCAACGAAGCCCGUUUGCUACCGAUAGUAUUCUAGCUCAACUCUA